rnacentral:tRNA from 2 species
GCAUUUGUAGCUCAGCGCAGAGCGCCGGUCUUGUAAACCGGAUGUCGGAGGUUAAAGUCCCCCCUCUUGC